rnacentral:rRNA from 1 species
UACGGAGGGUGCGAGCGUUGUCCGGAAUCACUGGGCGUAAAGGGCGCGUAGGCGGCCCGCGAAGCGUGUGGUGAAAGCCCGGGGCUCAACCCCGGGUCGGCCAUGCGAACUGGCGGGCUGGAGCACUGUAGAGGCAGGUAGAAUUCCGGGUGUAGCGGUGGAAUGCGUAGAGAUCCGGAAGAAUACCGGUGGCGAAGGCGGCCUGCUGGGCAGUGGCUGACGCUGAGGCGCGACAGCGUGGGGAGCAAACAGG